UACGGAUACUGCAAGCGUUAUUCGGAUUCACUGGGCGUAAAGGGUGCGCAGGCGGUCGGGUGUGUCAGGUGUGAAAUCUCGGAGCUCAACUCCGAAACUGCGCCUGAAACUACACGACUAGAGUAUCGGAGAGGUGAGCGGAAUUCAUGGUGUAGCAGUGAAAUGCGUAGAUAUCAUGAAGAACACCAAAAGCGAAGGCGGCUCACUGGACGAUUACUGACGCUCAGGCACGAAAGCAUGGGGAGCAAAAGGG
rnacentral:rRNA from 1 species